UACGGAGGGUGCGAGCGUUGUCCGGAAUCACUGGGCGUAAAGGGUUCGUAGGCGGUGCGGCAAGUCGGGAGUGAAAUCUCUGGGCUUAACUCAGGGGCUGCUUCCGAAACUGCCGUGCUUGAGUGCGGGAGAGGCGAGUGGAAUUGCAGGUGUAGCGGUGAAAUGCGUAGAUAUCUGCAGGAACACCCGUGGCGAAGGCGGCUCGCUGGACCGCAACUGACGCUGAGGAACGAAAGCUAGGGGAGCAAACAGG
rnacentral:rRNA from 1 species